GACGUAGGGCGCGAGCGUUGUCCGGAUUUAUUGGGCGUAAAGAGCUCGUAGGCGGCUUGUCGCGUCGUCCGUGAAAACCCACAGCUCAACUGUGGGCUUGCGGUCGAUACGGGCAGGCUAGAGUUCGGUAGGGGAGACUGGAAUUCCUGGUGUAGCGGUGGAAUGCGCAGAUAUCAGGAGGAACACCGGUGGCGAAGGCGGGAUCCUGGGCCAGUACUGACGCUGAGGAGCGAAAGCGUGGGGAGCAAACAGG
rnacentral:rRNA from 1 species